rnacentral:lncRNA from 1 species
GACAAUUCAUGCAAAUAAAAUCAAUCAAAGAAAGAAAGCUUAUUUAGUAAUCUGGUGAAAAUCAUUUUACUGUUUUCUUUGUCAACAUCAAUCUAGUCUAAUUUCACAAAAAUCAGUAGCUAAAUUCCUUAGUGUUCCACUUACAAGAGUCAUUGUUGAACCAAAAUAUAACCUUAAGAUUGUCAAAAUACGGAACUGAAAAAUUAAGAAAUGACUUUAAGGCGUGUAAUAAUGCCACUUUCCUCAAGAUUUUAUUCGCCCCCACUUGUAGUGUGUAAAAGAUUUACCGGUAUAUAAACCUUGAUGAUACAAUGAAACCUAGUGAUUGACGGCAUUUUGUAUUGAUAUAAUCAAUCCACCAUGUCAUGACCCGGAACUCCCAUCGGACCCAUGACAACUGCCGCGACGUCUCGAUAGGCACCAUUACCCCGAAUACAGAUCGAAACCCCACAAGGCUUAGCAUCAGCUUUUGCAUCUCCCAAGUGAGCGACAGUUAUUAAAUCUCGCAUUUCAAGAAAUCAUAAGUCGUUUCCAAAUCAAAACAAUAAAAUACUAUUUUCUGGUUCACAGGGGCAUUUUCAUCAUUUUUCUUCAAAAAUACCAAAACCCACUAAAAACAUGGUGUAAAAGCUAAAUAUAUUCAUACAUAUUUUAAAUCAGAUAACUAAAGUAUAAAAUUAUUUUUACAAUGACACGUGGGCCCCCAACUAACCAAUAAGAUACAAGUCUAUUGUCACGCCCCAGACCCAAGACAUGAUAGACGCCGCAUACCUGUAAGGUAUAAUCCCACAGACAUGCAAGGCUCUAAAAUAUAUAUCUUAAACCAUUACUAAAAGAGACUAAUAUACCUGAAGAAUUUAGUGAUUUAUAAACUAUAUCUGUUGACAGAAUUUCCAAAUAUCAUAAUUUGACAAUAUUCAAAAUUAAAUCUCCAAAACCAUAAAGCUACUGAGUCAAGAUAAAAGUCUGAAUACUAAUUAAGAUAGUACGAUGUUCAUAAUAUUUAAAUAAAUCCUAGAUAAUUUAAGUGCUACUAAAUUAAACAUCACUCCCCAAAGUUCCCGCGUGGUUGACCAAAUCACAACCUGAAAAAAAUUUGAAGGAAGGGGUGAGUCCAACUACUCAGCAAGUAACUAACAUCCCUUCAGCCGGAUUAAGCAUGCUUAA